ACUCCUACGGGAGGCAGCAGUGGGGAAUAUUGCACAAUGGGCGCAAGCCUGAUGCAGCAACGCCGUGUGAGUGAAGAAGGUUUUCGGUAUCGUAAAACUCUGUCCUAAGGGAAGAAAAAAUAGACGGUACCUUAGGAGGAAGCCCGGCCUAACUACGUGCCAGCAGCCGCGGUAAUACGUAGGGGCGAAGCGUUAUCCGGAAUCACUGGGCGUAAAGGGUGCGUAGGCGGCUUAGCAAGCCAGGGGUGAAAGGCAUUGGCUCAACCAAUGUAAGCCUUUGGAACUGUUAAGCUUGAGUGCAGGAGAGGUAAGUGGAAUUCCUAGUGUAGAGGUGAAAUUCGUAGAUAUUAGGAGGAACACCAGUGGCGAAGGCGACUUACUGGACUGUAACUGACGCUGAUGCACGAAAGCGUGGGUAGCGAACAGGAUUAGAUACCCUGGUAGGUCAGUC
rnacentral:rRNA from 1 species